ensembl:snRNA U4 U4 spliceosomal RNA
AGCUUUGAAAAAAUGGCAGUAUCACAGACAAUGAAGUUUAUCCAAGGCACAAUUAUUGUUAAUUGAAAACUUUACCCAAAUACUCUUAACAGUUAUAGUUGGUGUGGUAAUUUUAGUCAGUUGUGAGCUGC